GCCAAAGGUCAAUUCAGUGACUGGGGCGAAGUCGUAACAAGGUAGCCGUAGGUGAACCUGCAGAAGGAUCA
rnacentral:rRNA from 1 species